UACGGAGGGUGCGAGCGUUAAUCGGAAUUACUGGGCGUAAAGCGUGCGCAGACGGUCAUGUAAGUCGGGUGUGAAAGCCCCGGGCUCAACCUGGGAAUUGCAUUCGAGACUGCAUGGCUAGGGUGCGGAAGAGGGAAGCGGAAUUUCCGGUGUAGCGGUGAAAUGCGUAGAUAUCGGAAGGAACACCAGUGGCGAAAGCGGCUUCCUGGUCCAGCACCGACGUUCAGGCACGAAAGCGUGGGGAGCAAACAGG
rnacentral:rRNA from 1 species